AAAGGAAUAGACGGGGGCCCGCACAAGCAGUGGAGUAUGUGGUUUAAUUCGAAGCAACGCGAAGAACCUUACCAGGGCUUGACAUACUGAGGGAUGUCUUAGAGAUAAGGCAGCCUUUCGGGGCUUCAGAACAGGUGGUGCAUGGUUGUCGUCAGCUCGUGUCGUGAGAUGUUGGGUUAAGUCCCGCAACGAGCGCAACCCCUGCAGUUAGUUGGCAACGGGCAAGCCGGCCACUCUAACGGGACUGCCGGUGACAAAUCGGAGGAAGGUGGGGACGACGUCAAAUCAUCAUGCCCCUUAUGUCCUGGGCUACACACGUACUACAAUGGCUGAUACAGAAGGAAGCGAAGCCGCGAGGCAGAGCAAAUCCUCAAAAAGCAGUCUCAGUUCAGAUUGCGGGCUGCAACCCGCCCGCAUGAAGCAGGAAUUGCUAGUAAUGGCAGGUCAGCAUACUGCCGUGAAUACGUUCCCGGGCCUUGUACACACCGCCCGU
rnacentral:rRNA from 1 species